rnacentral:rRNA from 1 species
AGCGAACGCUGGCGGCAGGCCUAACACAUGCAAGUCGAACGAACCUUUCGGGGUUAGUGGCGGACGGGAGAGGAACACGUGGGAACGUGCCUUUAGGUGCGGAAUAACUCAGGGAAACGUGUGCUAAUACCGAAUGUGCCCUUCGGGGGAAAGAUUAAUCGCCUUUAGAGCGGCCCGCGUCUGAUUAGCUAGUUGGUUGAGGUAAUGGCCCACCAAGGAGACGAUCAGUAGCUGGUCUGAGAGGAUGCUCCGCCACAUUGGGACUGCGACACGGCCCAAACUCCUACGGGAGGCAGCAGUAGGGACUAUUGCGCGCUGGGCCAAAGCCUGACGCAGCCAUGCCGCGUGAAUGAUGCAGGUCUUAGGAUUGUACAAUUCUUUCACCGGGGACGAUAAUGACGGUACCCGGAGAAGAAGCCCCGGCUAACUUCGUG